GGGAUAUGCAUUGGGUAGCUGGGAAAAAAGGGGAUUUUAUAGUCAAGGAUUCUCACCAAGCAAUGAAUAGCACUUGAAGAUUGCAUAGUAGUUGUGGAAAGUUAAUUUUCAGUUCAAAGUUGUUUUUUUGUUUUGCUUUGUUUUAUAAGGAAAAAUAUGACAUAACAGAGAUAUCUCAGUGAUUUAUUUGUGCAGUCAAAAAUGCUUUGAUUUUGGAAAGCAAAUGCCAAAUACAAGGUGGAAUUCAUGGCAAUCCCACAAUUACCAGCCAUCCCCCAGAUGAAGUAUGCCUGUGUGAAACAUUCAUUAACUUUUCUGUAAUCGUGAUCUGAUUGGAAGCGGGUCAGGCAAACAAGAAGGACUAAUUUUGGGCAAAGAAAUAAUUUUCUGUGAGUAAUUAGGAUAUGUACUCAUGGGUAAAGCAUUUUGCUGCUGUACAAACAUUCAUAACUGCUAUUAAUGGAAUAAGGAAAUAUUUUGACAGGCAGCAGUCAAGAUGAGCUUUUUCAAGCCACAGAAUUUUCUGUAGAGGAAUAUGAAUAUGUCAGGACCAUCUAUACAUCCAUUCAGAAAAGAUAGCUGGUGUUUUAGCCAGCUGAAAUGAUAUCCACGGGGCUGUAGUCUCUCCCACAUACCUUUGUGAUAUCAGCAGGACCCCAGUGCUCAAAGGCUGCUCCGCCUGUCCCCCAGGAGCUCAGGGGAGGGACAAAGGGGGUGGGAAGCUGGGGGGCUUUGGUAAUGCUCCUUUCUCUUCCUGGCUUCUUGAGCUACUGAGCUACUUUUUAAUUUUUUUAUUUUAUUUUAUUUUAUUUUAUUUUAUUUUAUUUUAUUUUAUUUUAUUUUAUUUUAUUUUAUUUUAUUUUAUUUUAUUUUAUUUUAUUUUUAUUUUUUAGUGUAAGCUCAUUUUUUCCUCCACAGGGAGAAUAUUUCUUCUGAACUCCCUGACUCUAACUCCUGAGCACAGAGAGAUGACUCCUGGAGAAGUGCUGCUGAAAAAGAAAAAGGGAGAAAAUGAGGUGUCUGCACAACUGUAUCUUACCAAAAGCAAAGACCUCGCAUGCUGUACUCCUGCUAGCAUGGGUGCUAGAAACAUUUUGCCUAAAUCACUGAGAAUUGCUAAAAUGCUUCUCUGGCCUAAAAUUUCUGUCUCUACUGGAACAAGGAGACCAUUGCUGGAGGUGGGCUGCAUGCUGCAAGGCAGUGCAAGAAGGGUGGGCACAGGAGUAAGUGACGGCAAAUUUAUGAGGUCCCACCUUAUAAAUUUAUGUGAAAAGCAAUAAAAGUGGUUUUCAGGGUGUAUCUGUAUGUAUAUACUUCAAUAUGUGAUAGAGCCACAAAAGCCCCAUUUCCUUUGUCAGCACAAGAGCUUGCUGAACCACAGAGAUGCUGGAAAGGUGCAGAGGUCAAAACCACUUUAGAGGGGUUUUUAAUAGCCUUUAAAUCCCUAGCUGGGAUUGUGAAACUCCUACUGGGGUGCAUAGAGAAUGAGCCUCCUUAUCUCCCCACUAUGGUGACCUGCUGAUAAAGUCCAGCUGCUAUGAAUGGGAAGCCACAAAAUAUUUGUAUGUCAAAAAAUUCCACAGACCUUGAUAAAACGGUGGCCAGGAGGAGCCUGGCGCAGAUGGGAUGUUCUUCAUCAUUCUGCUUCAAAUGCUGAAAAAAGUCUUUUUGAGUAACAGUAGCAAUGUUUUUUAGGUGGGACAGUGCUCAUGCAGAUAGAGCCACCUAUCUUUCUAGGUUUCCUCUCCCAGAGAGGAGCUGUGGCUGGAGCAGCCGUGGCUGCCGCUGCAAGGGCAGGCUGACAGCUGUCGGAGAACCCCUUCUCCUGCCCCGUCCCCUCUGCCGCGGGUUAGCUGCUUGCUGUGAGGAGCCAGAUUUGUUCUAUUAAAAGUGUGUUCCCGGGCGGAGGGAAGUUCUCAUGCACUCUGCCCCGGGCAGCCUGACCCGCGCUGGCUGCGGUGCGAGCAGCCUUGUGUUCAGCCCGGCCGGGUGAUCAGAAGCAGACCGCAGCGGGUGCCUGCCCUGCUCCCCCCGCUGAAUGCUGUGGGGAGAGGAGGGCUCGGGGCUGCCAGCACAGAGCCACCGUCCUGGCUCCUCACUUCACCCCUCUCCUGCCCCUCAGCAGGCCCAUCCUUCUGUACCGAUGGUGGCAGCGGCACCGGGAGGUCUCACACGUCCUCGGAGAGGUGACACCUGAGCUCUUUCCCAGCCCUGGUGCAGGCAGGUGGCCCCUGGGGGAACAUGGGGCUGGAGCGCUCCCCAUUUCUGCAGUGUGCUCUGCCAGGUGCUGGCUGAAAGGGUCUUGUCAUUCCAACCCCCCUGGGACAGUGUGGGACCAGGCUCCCGAAGAAAGCACUUAGCUGUGAUAUUGUAAACAGAAAGAAAAACUUUCAAUCACUGGGUUGCCCUCUAACAAGAAAUUAAUAAAGCUCCCACUUAAAAGGCA
ensembl:lncRNA